CAGGAGACCUGGGUUUGAUCCCUGGGUUGGGAAGACCCCCUGGAGAAAGGAAUGGCUAUCCACUCUAAUACUCUAGUAUUCUUUCCUGGAGAAGCACCAGAGAUGCAGACCCUACUCUGCUUACAUUCCAAGGACCCACCCUCUGGAUAACUUUUCUCUUAAAACGAUGUUGCGAAUUUCCUGGCAGUCCAUCGGUUAGUACUCCACGCUCUCCCUUACAAAGACUCCAGUUGAUCCCUGGUGGGGGAAGUAAGAUUCCCAAUGCCACUGUGGCCUAAAAUAAAUAAAUAAAUAACACUGCAUGUUUAGGAAGCUUUUGUUGGUCACACUAGUGGUGUGUAUUAAGUGGCUCUUCAUGGCCCCUAUUACCACACUCAGUUGACACAACUGCUGCCCAAAAGGGAGAAAGAGUUUUUUUUGAGCACCUCCCCGCGUCGGGGGCGUGGCCUCUUUCAAUCUUCCCAACCACUAUGGGGAGUGGGUGGAGCUUUCCAUUUCACAGAGGAGGUAACUGAGGCUCAGAAGGUAAGCUACUUGGCCUCAGGAGGUUAAAACUAAGAUUUGAACCCUCAUAUAUCUCACUCCACAACCUUUGCCACUACCCUCCACCCGCAUAUACCCAAAGAAAACAAACAAAAAAUUUGGCUUUUUACUUCAUCUCAGAGUCUUCAUUACAGACAAGGGUGUGGUUUUUACUCUUUUCUGUUAGUCUUUGGAAAAUUGAAAGCAGCGCAGUACCUCGGGUAGCUGCCUGACCUCAUCCUGGUGGAAGGGAUCCUCACACCCCUAAAGCGUCCAUCCCCUCCCCAGCCACCGCCGUCUAUAGACGCCCCCGUCGGUCUCCUCCAGCCCCUCCCUCCGGCCGCCCACCCCCUCGCUCAGCCCCCCUUCCACCCCUCCCAGGCCUCCAGACCCGCUGUCCCGGCUCAGACCCCAGGUCCCUGGCGGGAGUUUCCUGUCCCCAGCGCCCGUACUUUCCAUGACAUAAAAGGAAGUCGGCUGAGCAAGGGCUGGGUUUUCCAGGCCGCCCGGCCCUGGGUGGAGGCCGAAGGUGGGGGUGAGGAGGGGGUUAUCACCCCCCAACCCCCACCCAGGGCCGUGUCAGUACCUCGUCGGCCUCCGCGGGAGAAGCGCCUGCCUGCGCUGCCCGGGCCCACACCAGGCCCCAGGAAAUGGCAACUGUGGGCACCUGCACGGCCCAGAAGAGGAGAGAAACAGUUCUGUCUAAGCCCUUGGAGUCUUGAAAUGCUCACUACUUUGUUUCCUCCAAAGAUUAUAUAUUCAUUUUGUCUGGUGAUUAUAAAUCAAAGGCCCAAAUACGCAGAAAACCAUUUUCAUAGAGAUUUUAAUGAAGUCAAAGGGAGCCAGAGUGAAAAAUGGAAUGAGGAAUCACAAGGAUUCUCCUCUCCUGGCUGUGCCUUUAUGACGCUGAGAGGAGCUGUUAAAGUCACCACGAAGUGAGUUUUACGCAGUCUUUAAAACUCAUAUGAGAAGCCUUCCCUGGUGGCCCAGUGGUUGAGAGUCCACCUUCCAAUGCAGGGGACACAGGUUCGAUCCCUGGUUGGGGAACGAAGAUCCCACACGCCUUGGGGCAACUAAGCCCAUCACAGCAACUAGAGAAAGCCUGGAUACCUCAACGAAGACCCAGCACCACCAAAAUAGGGAAAAUAGGACAAAAAACUCAUUGAACAGUUUGUAAUGAUGGGAAAUACUAUCAAUAUGAUGUGAAGUGACACUUGAGCUAGGCAUGUGGCUUUACAGUAUAAUCAUAGCCCCUUCAUAUAUUUUGAGUGAUAAUGUAUAACUUUGCGUCUUUAAGUUAUAAACAUACAAAUAUAUAAUGUAUAAAGAUAAUUUCAACUUUAAAAUGUUGGUUACUAACAUCUAUUUACUAAAAUAAAUGUUUAUCCUUAAUUAGUCCCCACUUUCUUGGGCGCUCACUGUGUUCCAUCCAGGUUCUGUGAACAACCAACCCUUGCUGUGUCUCAUCUUAGGGAACCCUCCCAACAACCUUUUAAGGCAGAUUGUCUUCUUCUCCCCAUUUCACAGAUUAGGAAAUGAGGCUGAGGAAGUUUAGAUGACAGGCCUAAGGUUGCAUGGAUAGGAGGUGAAGUGGCCAGAACAGUACCAGCAUCUCUGCAUCUUUGAUCAUCCCAUGGGAUUGUAGAAUCUUAGUUUCCUCAACCAGGGAUCAAACCUGGGCUCAUAUCACUGAAAGCACUGAGUUUUAACCACUGGACUGCCAGGGGAUUCCCUGGUCUUUACACUGUUUUAUUGGCCCACAUUUCUCUGUGCUAUGGGCUUGCUUGGUGGCUCAGACAGUAAGGAAUUUGCCUGCAAUGCAGGAGACCCAGCUUCCAUCCCUGGGUCGGGAAGAUUCCCCUGAAGGAGGCAAUCGGCUAACUGCUCCAGUAUUCUGGCCUGAAGAAUCCUACGGACAGAGGAGCCCAGCGGGCUACAGUCCAUAGGGUCACCAAGAGCCAGACAAGACUGAGCGAAUAAUACUUUCACUUUUCUUCCCUGUACUAUAGAUAAUGCACCUCGCAUGUGUCGAUACAGAAGGGGGAUGGAGAGACUUGAAAGUCCUAGGGUGUGAUGUGAGGUGACAUGAGACAGAACCCAGCAAGGCCACACGGGGACACAGAAUCACAUGGAGCAGGACCCCAGGGGCCAGGCUCAGGGCACAGCUGUCUGUGGGUGACACAGAGUGGGGCCACAGCUGCCUUCGCUCUUCCUGGGACCCCUGUAGUGGAUGUUUCAUUUGUGCCAUUUUAAAACUUGGAGGAACCCAGGGGAAGAAAAAAAAAAAAUCAGUCAAUUCAUUUUUAAAAGGACCAGCACAGNNNNNNNNNNNNNNNNNNNNNNNNNNNNNNNNNNNNNNNNNNNNNNNNNNNNNNNNNNNNNNNNNNNNNNNNNNNNNNNNNNNNNNNNNNNNNNNNNNNAGAAAAAAAAAAAAUCAGUCAAUUCAUUUUUAAAAGGACCAGCACAGAAAAUCAAACUAAACGAAUGAUUUUCCAUCACAAAGCAUUGUGUCAUUACAAAAUAAAAAAAGACUAGAAAAGGCCUUCUUCCCACAGUGAUGAAACUGCGGUGGUUGGUUUUACAAAGAAAACAGAAUUUAGCUGAACGUGCUGUGAGAGUGUGUGAAAAAUAGAUGUCAAGGCUUUUGAAAAGCUUGAAGCAGUAAUAACCACAGAGCAUCAGCGGCUAGGAUUUAUUAAGCGCUUACUAUAUGCUGGGCACUGAGCUGGGAGUACCCUCUCAGAGAUCACUGUGGUCACAAUGAUUUCAUGGGGAUGGGGGUAAUGACUGGGUCUUUAUUGGUGGCGGGCCUCUGUAGUGGGCAAUGCCUUUGCUCAGUUAGAAUCACACCGUCUCCAGGGAGAUGAGGAAAUAGACACAGNNNNNNNNNNNNNNNNNNNNNNNNNNNNNNNNNNNNNNNNNNNNNNNNNNNNNNNNNNNNNNNNNNNNNNNNNNNNNNNNNNNNNNNNNNNNNNNNNNNUACACAGUGGCCUUAAAUGUGAUGAGCUUGAGCUCUAUCUAGAGUCUCAAGGUCAUCUGAAAUCAAGCACCAUCCGGUCUUCCCAGCAUUAUUUCUAACUGGCACCACUCACACUUACCAGUGAGUCUCUCACCCCUACCCACAGCCUACCCUCCUAAGCAGCACCUUGUAAUAAAUAGCAGAAAUUCUGAGGCUGGAUGACCUGAGUUCACACACUGGCUCUGCUUCUUAGUAACUGUGUGAUUAUGAACAGAUUGCUCACCUCUCUUCUCCUCUCUGUAAAAUGGUGAGGAUGGUAGCCCCUAUCUCAGGAAGAUAAAGUGAGAAAAUGCAAGUAAAUAUUGAUUCAUCUGCUUGGCCCAUUUUUUUUUUUUUAAAGCUCAGUAGAUAUUGCUACUGCUAAUCUUAUCAUUUCCUUUGUCACAACUCUCUCUGAUUUGCUCAUGACCAUUAUCUUUCCCUGGUGGCUCAGAUGGUAAAGAAUCUGCUUACAACGUGAGAGACUAAGGUUCGAUCCCUGGAUUGGGACGAUCCACUGAAGGAAGGUUGCAUGGCCGCCCACUCUAGUAUUCUUGCCUGGAGAAUCCCAUGGACAGAGGAGCCUG
rnacentral:lncRNA from 1 species